AUCGAUCCUUUCGAGCAUCAUCUACCGAAGCCUUAGGGGGCCCAAAAGGCCAUGCCGCGCGACAGUAAACAAUGCGUGCAGUCCCUAGUCACCGGGGCCACUCCCGGCGGCGACACCUUCGAAUUGCGGGGAAACCCUAAAGCCCGCCGGUACCAAGCUGCAGCUGAAAAGCGGCGGCGGCCCGUGUUAAUCGCACGGGGUAUGGUAAGAAUCCGGCGGGAUGAGGCCAGCGGCAGCCGCCGGCCGAAGUGGGCGAUCCGCAGCGAAGCCCCUAAACCAGGCCCCGAGGCUCUCCCAGCCCCGGGCGCCCGGCAUGGGGAACGUCCACAGACUAAGUGGAGGUGGGUGAGCGGCUCCGGCCGCCCGCUUAAGAUAUAGUCGGGCCCCUCUGGAGACACUGGGGAUAGCAGCUGUUCCGUAGGUGAACCUGCGGAAGGAUCAUUGUAAAGUACCGCGGCUUGUCCGCGGGUCGGGGGGCCCCUUCGGGAGGCCCUGUCUGAACCCUAUGUCAUUGUCGCACCUCGCGUUUCCUCGGCGGGCUCGCCCGCCAACGAGGACCCCAUACCAAACCCAUUGCAGUAUUGCAGUACACGUCUCACAAACAAUCAAUCAAAACUUUCAACAACGGAUCUCUUGGUUCUGGCAUCGAUGAAGAACGCAGCGAAAUGCGAUAAGUAGUGUGAAUUGCAGAAUUCAGUGAAUCAUCGAAUCUUUGAACGCACAUUGCGCCCUUUGGUAUUCCUUAGGGCAUGCCUGUUCGAGCGUCAUCUAAACCCUCAAGCACCGCUUGAUGUUGGGCGCCUGUCCCGCCGCGCGCGCGGACUCGCCUCGAAGAGAUUGGCGGCCUGUGUGUUGGCCACGAGCGCAGCAGACCACGCGGCUCGUGCCCUCCCGCGCAGGCGCUCCAGGAAGCGACCCCCCCAAUUUUGACCUCGGAUCAGGUAGGGAUACCCGCUGAACUUAAGCAUAUCAAUAAGCGGAGGAAAAGAAACCAACAGGGAUUGCCUCAGUAACGGCGAGUGAAGCGGCAACAGCUCAAAUUUGAAAUCUGGCUCCCUUGGGCGCCCGAGUUGUAAUUUGCAGAGGGUGCUUUGGCGUCGGCAGCGGCCUAAGUUCCUUGGAACAGGGCGUCACAGAGGGUGAGAACCCCGUACGUGGCCGCCGGCCUUCGCCGUGUAAAGCCCCUUCGACGAGUCGAGUUGUUUGGGAAUGCAGCUCUAAAUGGGAGGUAAAUUCCUUCUAAAGCUAAAUACUGGCCAGAGACCGAUAGCGCACAAGUAGAGUGAUCGAAAGAUGAAAAGCACUUUGGAAAGAGAGUCAAAAAGCACGUGAAAUUGUUGAAAGGGAAGCGCUUGCAGCCAGACUUGCCCGCGGUCGUUCUUCUUCCGCGGGCAGGCCAGCAUCAGUCUGGGCGGUCGGAUAAAGGCCUCGGGAACGUAGCUCUCUCCGGGGAGUGUUAUAGCCCGGGGCGUCAUGCGGCCAGCCCGGACUGAGGUCCGCG
rnacentral:rRNA from 1 species